rnacentral:rRNA from 1 species
AACGAACGCUGGCGGCAUGCCUAACACAUGCAAGUCGAACGAGAUCCUUCGGGGUCUAGUGGCGCACGGGUGCGUAACGCGUGGGAAUCUGCCCUUGGGUCUGGGAUAACAGCGGGACACUGCUGCUAAUACCGGAUGAUAUCGCGAGAUCAAAGAUUUAUCGCCCGAGGAUGAGCCCGCGUCGGAUUAGCUAGUUGGUGGGGUAAAGGCCUACCAAGGCGACGAUCCGUAGCUGGUCUGAGAGGAUGAUCAGCCACACUGGGACUGAGACACGGCCCAGACUCCUACGGGAGGCAGCAGUGGGGAAUAUUGGACAAUGGGCGCAAGCCUGAUCCAGCAAUGCCGCGUGAGUGAUGAAGGCCUUAGGGUUGUAAAGCUCUUUUACCCGGGAUGAUAAUGACAGUACCGGGAGAAUAAGCUCCGGCUAACUCCGUGCCAGCCGCCGCCGUAACAC